AACGUAGGAGGCAAGCGUUAUCCGGAGUUACUGGGCGUAAAGCGUGCGUAGGCGGGUUGGUAAGUGGGUGGUGAAAGCGCUCGGCUAAACCGGGCGAGUGCCAUCCAGACUGCCAGUCUAGAGGCGGAUAGAGGGAUGCAGAAUUCCAGGUGUAGCGGUGAAAUGCGUAGAUAUCUGGAGGAAUACCGGUGGCGAAGGCGGCAUCCUGGACCGACAUUGACGCUGAAUACCGAAAGCUAGGGGAGCAAACGGG
rnacentral:rRNA from 1 species